rnacentral:rRNA from 1 species
GACGAACGCUGGCGGCGUGCUUAACACAUGCAAGUCGAACGGUGAAGCUCCAGCUUGCUGGAGUGGAUCAGUGGCGAACGGGUGAGUAACACGUGAGCAACCUGCCCCUGACUCUGGAAUAAGCGCUGGAAACGGCGUCUAAUACUGGAUACGAGAAGGGUCCGCAUGGGCACUUUCUGGAAAGUUUUUCGGUUGGGGAUGGGCUCGCGGCCUAUCAGCUUGUUGGUGAGGUAAUGGCUCACCAAGGCGACGACGGGUAGCCGGCCUGAGAGGGCGACCGGCCACAGGGGGACUGAGACACGGCCCAGACUCCAACGGGAGGAAGCAGUGGGGAAUAUUGCACAAUGGGCGAAAGCCGGAUGCAGAGACGCCGCGUGAGGGAUGACGGCCUUCGGGUUGGAAACCUCUUUCAGCAGGGAAGAAGCGAAAGGGACGGUACCUGCAGAAGAAGCACCGGCUAACUACGU